UCCUACGGGAGGCAGCAGUGGGGAAUAUUGGACAAUGGGCUCACGCCCGAUCCAGCAAUAUCGCGUGGGUGAAGAAGGGCACUGUCGCUUGUCAAGCUCUUUCGUCGAGUUUCGAUCAUGACAGGACUCGAGGAAGAAGCCCCGGCUAACUCCGUGCCAGCAGCCGCGGUAAUACGGGGGGGGCAAGUGUUAUUCGGAAUGACUGGGCGUAAAGGGCACGUAGGCGGUGAAAAGGGUGGAAAGUGAAAGUCGCCAAAACACUGGCGGGGUGCUUUCUUGACCAUUUCACUUGAGUGAGAUAGGGGAGAGUGGAAUUUCGUGUGGAGGGAUCAAAUCCUAAGAUAUACGAAGGAACGCCAACCGCGAAGGCAGCUCUCUGGGUCCCCACUGACGCUGGGGUGCGAAAGCAUGGGGAGCAAACAGGAUCAGAUACCCUGGUAGUCCAUGCCGUAAGCGAUGAGUGUUCGUCCUUGGUCUGCCUGCCUACUAGGUAGGAUUAGGAUCAGGGGCCCAGCUAACGCGUGAAACACUCCGCCUGGGGAGUACGGUCGCAAGACUGAAACUCAAAGGAAUUGACGG
rnacentral:rRNA from 1 species